ACUUUUGUAUCGUCACGCUACAACACAUGCAAACAAGAUUUUAACCAAGCAGAGCGUACCGAGAUACACAGUAUGUAAGCAUGACAACAAGAACAACUGCAUAGUAACCUGCAAGCACCUAAACCCCGCGCCCAGUGAUUCCAUUGAUGUUGCACGUCUUCCUCGCCAGUUGAUUUACAAGAAGUUCGCUACUUACGAACGCAAACAAACAAACAAACAGACAGAUGAAAGUCGCUAAGGAGUGGUGCAGUCGCCUAUGGCAACUUAUAGUGUGCGGCUUCUACGUUGUGGCGCUUUGGCCACGCAUACUCACCAACACACACAGCCAUACGCACGCACACAAUGCAGCUAGUUCGAGUGUAAUUCCCUCCUUAUGCAAAUAUCAGCCAAGGAGGAACUUUGAACAGCAUAUGCGAUACACAAAUACUUGAAAAUGUGAUGUGACUUGAAUGUAAAUGCCGACAUACACACAUAACUAUAUGUGGAUGGAUAUGUGAGCGGUGAGUGUAUGUAUGUAUGUGUGCGUGCUUCCGCAUACAAAGCAACAUUACCAUACACUCAACCGAGUGUUUGCUCAUGGAAGUGAACUCGCCUGGAAAUUUGGCAGCAAUUUUCGUUGCUCGCAUUUAGGAAACCAUACAUGAAAAUUAACCUACAUACAAAUAAAUGGCAACAAAAAGCUAUGCAAAAAACCACAUCCAUACCUACUCGCCGAACUGCGAACUUUGAACAGAACUGUGAAAAAGGACUACGAAACACGGAGAAUCGAACUUUAUCGUAAAUAAACUUUUGCAGCAAAGUGAAAUGCGCGCUGACAAUCUGGACACAAGUUGCAGGUCCCAGCUAUCUUCCAAAAGCCAAUUAAAAGAUUUUUGUCAUUAAACGUACCCUGGCACAUACAACUCUGUGUAUAUACAUACAUACAUACACGUGUAUGUGUGUAUAGAUGAGUUCUAUGUCACAUAUACCUAUACAUAUAUAUAUUCAUACUGUGUUUACAUGUAUGUAGCCUGUAGUUGUAUAAGUUAAGUAAAAAAGUAAACGAUACGCUUUUGAAGAGACACAAAAACAAAGUUUUAAAUAGUCUUUAGAAUGAUUUACUACAUUUUUUAAGAACUUGAAAAGUCUUCUGAUACUUGGUCAUGAAAACACAUAUAUUUGAAUAUAGUGGGUGUGUAUUUAUGUAAUUUAAGAAACUAUUUAAAUGGAACUAGACGCUUUUAUAUAUCUGUAUGUAGAGUUACUCACUCGUAUUUGCAUAAGCCAAAAAUCAAAAAAAAAGUUUUUAGCUCUCAGUUACUUCGGCGUUAGGCAUCAAGCGAGCUUCGCUACAAACACAAACUCUAAUUUGUUACAGCCUGUAAAUGUACAUAGAUAAAUGUGGUUUUGCGUAUUACAUACAUACAUAAAUAAGUAGAUUCGUGUACAAAUGUUUGAGUAUUUUUUUCUUUCUAAAAUUGAUUCAUAAUUACGCUUUAAAGGUCAUUGGAAUAUUUUCUCUCCGACAUCGCAAGUGUGUGUGUUGUAUGCACACACUUACAUACAUUUAUAUGAACGGAAUUGCUAUCAUCCAUUUACGUAAAGUAAAUGAUUUGAAUAAUAUAUUUGUAAGCAGUUUAUUUAUUGUUAAUAAUAAAUAAAAUAAGCAGUUUAUUUCCCCACUUUGUAUUCACUAAUUUCCUAUUUCUAGCCAAGCGCUGAUUAGGUUAGCAUUUAAGCCUUGUUAACUGCAAUUUUGUACUUGUAAAUAUUAUAUAAUAAAAAUGUACAGCUAAGUUACGCUUAAGUACGCUUAAGGCAUUUUUUAGGCAACCCUUAAGCAUCAUUUUACUGUGAAACUAACAAAUAACUCGUCUAAGAAUAACUAAAACUAAAACUAAAACACUGACAAUGUAUAGACUUGAAAAUAAACUA